GCUCUCUGUCUCCAAGCUCAGGUUAACAUCUUCAGCUAGGCUGCUCUAGGAUUCAGGUGUUGGGCUCUUGGACAACAUCUACCAUGGCUCAGUGCAGAUGGCACCAGUGUAAAUACCGACUCCCUGAGAAGAGAAGGAGGAAGCAGUGUCCACAGUGGAGAGAAAGCCAAAGAAGGAGUGUGAAUUGCUAUUAUUACUACCACAAGAGUGUGUGAUUUGCUGAGGAAGCCCAUGUUUCUCUAUGGUACCACUGCCCUCUGCUUUCCACCUGCACCUCUGAAGGGACAGGACCAACCAGAACAUCUCUGCAACUUUACAUCUCAUGAGCCCCCCAAGCCCACCCAGUAUCAGCAACCUAUGAUCAAUAAAAUCUGAUCACUGCAGCACACAA